rnacentral:tRNA from 1 species
CUAUGAGAAGCGAUAUAUUGCAAUCAGUUUCGACCUGAUAGAAGGGCACCCCCUCUGCUG